rnacentral:rRNA from 1 species
GGACGAACGCUGGCGGCGUGCUUAACACAUGCAAGUCGAGCGAGGCCCCUCCUUCGGGAGGGUGUCCUAGCGGCGAACGGGUGAGUAACACGUGGGCAACCUGCCCUCAGCUCUGGGAUAACUCCGUGAAACCGGGGCUAAUACCGGAUACGACCUCCACGGGCAUCUGCGGAGGUGGAAAGUUUUUCGGCUGAGGAUGGGCCCGCGGCCUAUCAGCUAGUUGGUGGGGUAGUGGCCCACCAAGGCGACGACGGGUAGCCGGCCUGAGAGGGCGACCGGCCACACUGGGACUGAGACACGGCCCAGACUCCUACGGGAGGCAGCAGUGGGGAAUAUUGCGCAAUGGGCGAAAGCCUGACGCAGCGACGCCGCGUGAGGGACGAAGGCCUUCGGGUUGUAAACCUCUUUCAGCAGGGACGAAGCGAAAGUGACGGUACCUGCAGAAGAAGCACCGGCCAACUACGUG